GACGGACCGAGAGAGGGGUAGAGGGAGGGGGAGAGAGGACCGAGAGAGCUUGUGAAGAGGGAGAGAGGGAGAGCCCCUGAAGUUUGAGAUUAAAGUGAUACACCACUGAACCACUGAUACCUCUUUACACAGACACACAUACCACUGGCUGACAUACUUCUGAGAGUUUUAUAGAACCCUAACUUGGGGUGCUUUCAUUGUUGCUAUGAAGACAAGGUGGUGUUGCCAGGGGAAUUCGUCUGUAGAGACUGACAUGAUUCUUCCUAUGGAGACGGGGAUGUUGCUAGGGGAGAGAGGGUGUUGUUGCUAUGGACUCGGUGGUGACACCUGAGCCUAAGGUAGCACAUACAGUGCAUUCGGAAAGUAUUCAGACCCCUUUCCACAUUUUGUUAUGUUACAGCCUUAUUCUAAAAUAAUUAUUCUACACACAAUACCCCAUAAUGACAAACUAAAAACAUGUUUAGAAAUGUUAUUAUAAAUAAAAACUGAAAUAGCACAUUUACAUAAGUAUUCAGACCCUUUACUCAGUACUUCGUUGAAACACCUUUGGCAGCGAUUACACCCUUAAUUCUUGGGUAUGACGCUACAAGCUUGGCACACCUGUAUUUGGGGGGUUUCUCACCAUUCUUCUCUGCAGAUCAUUUCAAGCUCUGGAGCAGGUUUUCAUCAAGGAUCUCACUGUACUUUGCUCCGUUCAUCUUUUCCUCGAUCCUGAAUAAUCUCCCAAUCCCUGCCACAGAUGGUUUCAGGUUUCUUCCAAACGUGACUCUUGGCAUUCGGGCCAAAGAGUUCAAUUUUGGUUUCAUCAGACCAGAGAAUCUUGUUUCUCAAGUUCUGAGUCCUUUAGGCAAAUGGGCUGUUAGGUGCCUUUUCCUGAGGAGUGGUUUCUGUCUGGCCAUUCUACCAUAAAGGCCUGAUUGGUGGAGUGCUGCAGAGAUGGCUGUCCUUCUGGAAGGUUCUCCCUCUGAUAGAGCUCCAAUCGGGUUCUUAGUCACCUCCCUGACCAAGGCCCUUCUCCCCCGAAUGCUCAGUUUGGCCAGGUGGCCAGCUCUUGGAACAGUCUUGGUGGUUCCAAACUUCUCCCAUUUAAGAAUGAUGAUGUGUUCUUGGAGACCUUCAAUGCUGCAGAAAUGUUUUGGUACCCUUCCCCAGAUCUGUGCCUUGGCACAAUCCUGUCUCAGAGCUCUACGGACAAUUCCUUUGACCUCAUAUGGCUUGGUUUUUGCUCUGACAUGCACUGUCAACUGUGGGACCUUAUAUAGACAGGUGUGUGCUUUUCCAAAUCAUGUCCAAUCAAAUGAAUUUACCACAGGUGGACUCCAAGUUGUAGAAACAUCUCAAGGAUGAUCAAUGGAAAUGGGAUGCACCUGAGCUCAGUUUUGAGUCUCAUAGCAAAGGGUCUGAAUAUUUAUGUAAUAAGGUAUUAUUAAAAAAAAAAAAUGCAAACUUAAAAAAAAAAAAAACUGUUUUCACUUUUGUCAUUUUGGGGUAUUGUGUGUAGAUUGAUGAGGACAUUUUUAAAUUUAAUCCAUUUUAGAAUAAGGAUGUAAUAAAAUGUUUUUAAAAAAUCAAGGGGUCUGAAUACUUUCCGAAUGCAUUGUACCAACCAAAGCAGGAUGGUCCGCGCGUGUUCCAAAGAUGUGAAUGUGAGUUUUGAAUUCUGUUGACCACUCAGUUAGUUUGUCCAAUGGAGAGGUAAAGGGUGUAUGUGUGUCUUUGAGCCACCUGUAUGCACACACACUCACUUGCUCCCUGACCUGCUCCUAGUCUGUGUGUUUAGGACAGGUGUUCAUUUUGUAUCUGAGAGCAGCCAAGACCAGAGCCAAGAUGGCUGUGUUUUGCCCUUUGACACACAGGAGAGGUGUUCUGCAUGCUCCUUUUUAAUUAGCCCUUUAAACAUUAGUUGUGAUUUAUAUAUUAACGUUAUAAGCUAACUUAUACCAAUUCAUAUUUUCUUUUAACCCUGAAUAUUUAAAUACCUGUGAACUUUUCCUUUGUAGUUAGUUUGUGUGUGUGUGUCUGUGUCUGUGUGUGUGUGUGUGGAGAGAGACAGAUUAAUUUUGGGCCCAAGUGAACACAUCCCUAUAAACACACUUGCACACAUGUGGACUCCUCCCUCUGCUCUGGUUGGUCUGUACUAGAGACCUGCUAGAAUUGGAGAACCCCAGCUUGCUCUGAGAGAGGGGAAGCCCAGGGUUUGAACCCAGUUUGUCUGCGUGCCACGAGACUGUGUUGGUCCUCUGAGCUGAAGUGUAGGUAUUAGCUUGGGGAGGUACCCCAAGUCUUCUAGUCUCAGAUAAGGUUAUUGGCGAUGGGAGGGUGGUUCAUCUCAGAGAGGGAAAAUAUAACCUGAAUGGUCCACCAGCUCAACCUUGUUCUAGAGGACUAGACCAUGACUCCGGUUCUAAAGGGGGAGAACCCUUUGGGGCAGUGUGUGUGUGAGAGUGUGUGUGUGUAUAGGGGGUGGGUGUGGUGCAUUACUAUGGUGACAUGUUUAGAGCGUUAGACUUACUUGAGUGACGCUAUGAUGAUGAGUGACGUUACUAAAAGUAGAAUCUACUGUGAUAGGUCAGGAGUAAAGACAGAUCUAUCUAGGUUGAGUAUUUCGAUAGAUCUGUUUCACCUCCAGGCCUAUCUAGGGCUUGUAUUCUGUGUUUUAAUGCUUUCUGUCUCUAUACCAAUAGACUCACUGACUCAUCUCACUAUGGCUGCCUUUUUAUUAAAGAUCAUGGAAACUGAAAAAUACAUUCCUCUCCUGUGAGUGAGUGUGUGAGGGUGUGUGUGUGAGAGUUAUCCAAAUUGUUAACUGCUGAAACUAGUGACAAUGAGGAUGAUAACCCCUUUGGUCGGUCACGUAUACUAAGUUUUGCUUUGCUUACUUCAAUACUGUGGUGUGUAUUAUGUCCUUUUAUGGAAAUAGAUGGCAGUGUUUGUGUUCCUGGGUCACUUCCUGGGCUAUACUCACCAAUGCCGACUGGCCACCUGUAGGGUGCCAUGAAGCCAAAUUGCCAAGCAGACAGCUUACAUCCCUUUGCAUUUUGAAAGACGGGGGGAGGGGAGUUGUGAGGUGUCUCCCCUGCACUGACAGAAGCCAAGCAGAACGUGUGUGUUUUAUCAAUUUGUGUUUGUCUCAUCAUUGACCAUGUUGCAUCAGUAAAGGUUUGUGUGUAUGUGUGUGUGAGAGAGAGUUAGUGAUGGCGACCAUGAGAGUGAGUGAGGGAGAGAAAGACAGAUACUGAGCAGAAAGGGUGAACUAAAAAAUUGCCACACGAAAUGUCUUAAUAGAGUGGUUUUGUCUUUUUUUAAACCUCACAUCACUCUUUUCCUUUCUGCAAAAUGGACAGCAGUGGUUAUUAUGGUAGUGGGUGUCCUCAUCUACUACAGAUCAUACUAUCCCACAACCACUAAAUUCUCGAUGGACCCUUAAGAGUGAAGACAAGACUUUGGAGACAGGACCACAACAAAAGGUGUAAAUAUACUGAAAUAUAUAUAUAAAUGCAACAUGCAUCAAUUUCACUGAGUUAGUUCAUAAGGAAAUCUGUCAAUUGAAAUCAAUUCAUUAGGC
ensembl:lncRNA